GGGAAGAGCCUCGAGUAGAGGUGACAGACCUACCGAGCUCGGCCAUAGCUGGUUGUCUGGGAACUGAAUAGAAGUUCAGCCUCCCGGCUUCUUCCCUCACCCGUAUGAAUAUUUCUAUGGACCCAAAGAAGACCGAGAGAGUUAGUCAAAAGGGGUACAGCCCUUUUGACACAAGAUACAACUUCUCCAGGAGGGUACCGAUCAUAACUAAUCAAGGGAAAAUAACCCAAGUGGGCCUAAAAGCAGCCACCUUAAUAGAAAGCGUCCAAGCUCAAGCACCUCUCCACCCCUCAAAUUCCGAAAACCAACUCAAAACCCCCUAAAAAUACCAGACCCCUUCGUGCCCACACGAAGAAGACUAUGCUACUACGAGUAAUAAGAGAAUACCCCUCUCUCCUGACACAUGUGUAAAUCGGAUUGGACCCUCCACCGAAACUUAACGGCCCCAAACGAAGAGGGGAAAAAGAAAACACCAGAAAACUAGAAAACCACUUUCAACCCACCGUUAACCCUACACUGGUGUGUUCUCAAGGAAAGACUAAAAGAAAGAGAAGGAACUCGGCAAACAAAAGCCUCGCCUGUUUACCAAAAACAUCGCCUCUUGCAAAACCAAAGAAUAAGAGGUCCCGCCUGCCCACUGAUAUUAAUUCAACGGCCGCGGUAUUUUGACCGUGCUAAGGUAGCGUAAUCACUUGUCUUUUAAAUGAAGACCCGUAUGAAAGGCAUAACGAGGGCUCAACUGUCUCCUCUUUCCAGUCAAUGAAACUGAUCUCCCCGUGCAGACGCGGGGAUAAUACCAUAAGACGAGAAGACCCUAUGGAGCUUCAGACAUAAAGUAGACUAUUUCAAACACCCCUCAACAAGGAUUGAAUCUAAUAGAAACCUACCCCUGUCUUAGGUUGGGGCGACCCUGGGGAAACACAAAACCCCCAUGUGGAUAGGGAGAACAUACUUACAUCCCCCUAAAAACCCGAGAUACAACUCUAAUUAACAGAAUCUCUGACCAAAAUUGAUCCGGACAAACCCGAUUAACGGAACAAGUUACCCUAGGGAUAACAGCGCUAUCCCCUUUUAAAGUCCAUAUAGACAAGGGGGUUUACGACCUCG
rnacentral:rRNA from 1 species